rnacentral:rRNA from 1 species
CCUACGGGAGGCAGCAGUGAGGAAUAUUGGUCAAUGGACGAGAGUCUGAACCAGCCAAGUAGCGUGAAGGAUGACUGCCCUAUGGGUUGUAAACUUCUUUUAUAUGGGAAUAAAAUGUUCCACGUGUGGGAUUUUGUAUGUACCAUAUGAAUAAGGAUCGGCUAACUCCGUGCCAGCAGCCGCGGUAAUACGGAGGAUCCGAGCGUUAUCCGGAUUUAUUGGGUUUAAAGGGAGCGUAGGUGGAUUGUUAAGUCAGUUGUGAAAGUUUGCGGCUCAACCGUAAAAUUGCAUUUGAAACUGGCAGUCUUGAGUACAGUAGAGGUGAGCGGAAUUCGUGGUGUAGCGGUGAAAUGCUUAGAUAUCACGAAGAACUCCGAUUGCGAAGGCAGUUCACUGGACUGCAACUGACACUGAGGCUCGAAAGUGUGGGUAUCAAACAGGAUUAGAUACCCGGGUAGUC